GGAAUAUAAGAACCCGCCUCUUAAUCUUUAACUAAAAAAAAUUAAGAACCGACUCUUAAAUAAGAUAUUUAAGAACCGGUUCUUAGCCUUUUUUAGUUAAAAGUUAAGAGGCGGGUUCUUAUAUUCC
rfam:Brassica oleracea var. oleracea cultivar TO1000 chromosome C9, whole genome shotgun sequence